CCUACGGGAGGCAGCAGUGGGGAAUCUUGCGCAAUGGGCGAAAGCCUGACGCAGCCAUGCCGCGUGAAUGAUGAAGGUCUUAGGAUUGUAAAAUUUCUUUCACCGGGGACGAUAAUGACGGUACCCGGAGAAGAAGCCCCGGCUAACUUCGUGCCAGCAGCCGCGGUAAUACGAAGGGGGCUAGCGUUGCUCGGAAUUACUGGGCGUAAAGGGAGCGUAGGCGGAUAGUUUAGUCAGAGGUGAAAGCCCAGGGCUCAACCUUGGAAUUGCCUUUGAUACUGGCUAUCUUGAGUACGGAAGAGGUAUGUGGAACUCCGAGUGUAGAGGUGAAAUUCGUAGAUAUUCGGAAGAACACCAGUGGCGAAGGCGACAUACUGGUCCGUUACUGACGCUGAGGCUCGAAAGCGUGGGGAGCAAACAGGAUUAGAUACCCUGGUAGUCCACGCUGUAAACGAUGAGUGCUAGUUGUCGGCAGGCAUGCCUGUCGGUGACGCAGCUAACGCAUUAAGCACUCCGCCUGGGGAGUCGGUCGCAAGAUUAAAACNCAAAGGAAUUGAGG
rnacentral:rRNA from 1 species